AAAUCACUUGAACCCGGGAGGCAGAGGUUGCAGUGAGCCGAGAUUGCGCCACUGCCCUCCAGCCUGGGCAACAGAG
rnacentral:snRNA from 1 species